rnacentral:rRNA from 1 species
AGUGAACGCUGGCGGUAGGCCUAACACAUGCAAGUCGAACGGCAGCACAGGAGAGCUUGCUCUCUGGGUGGCGAGUGGCGGACGGGUGAGGAAUACAUCGGAAUCUACUUUUUCGUGGGGGAUAACGUAGGGAAACUUACGCUAAUACCGCAUACGACCUACGGGUGAAAGCAGGGGACCUUCGGGCCCUGCGCGAUUGAAUGAGCCGAUGUCGGAUUAGCUAGUUGGCGGGGUAAAGGCCCACCAAGGCGACGAUCCGUAGCUGGUCUGAGAGGAUGAUCAGCCACACUGGAACGGAGACACGGUCCAGACUCCUACGGGGGGCAGCAGUGGGGAAUAUUGGACAAUGGGCGCAGGCCUGAUCCAGCAAUACCGCGUGGGUGAAGAAGGCCUUCGGGUUGUAAAGCCCUUUUGUUGGGAAAGAAAUCCAGCUGGCUAAUACCCGGUUGGGAUGACGGUACCCAAAGAAUAAGCACCGGCUAACUUCGUGCCAGCCGCCGCCGUAA